rnacentral:rRNA from 1 species
AUACGGAGGGUGCAAGCGUUAAUCGGAAUUACUGGGCGUAAAGCGCGCGUAGGCGGUUAUUUAAGUCAGAUGUGAAAUCCCUGGGCUCAACCUAGGAACUGCAUCUGAUACUGGGUAACUAGAGUUUUGGAGGGGUAAGUGGAAUUUCCGGUGUAGCGGUGAAAUGCAUAGAGAUCGGAAGGAACACCAGUGGCGAAGGCGACUUACUGGCCAAAAACUGACGCUGAGGUGCGAAAGCGUGGGUAGCAAACAGGAUUAGAUACCCUAGUAGUCC